UGGUGCCGGCGCUUCUCCCCUCAGUCUCCGCGAAACAAACACACAACACACACACAGCAUGUCCGGCAGAUCGGUGCGGGCCGAGACCAGGAGCAGGGAGAAGGAUGGCAUCAAACGGGUCAUGACAGCUAUAGAAAAAGUACGGAAACGGGAGAAAAAUACUGGGUGACUGUUGG